rnacentral:lncRNA from 1 species
CGGCCUCAUUUAAACUUAACUAGAUAGGUAGUUUGACUUUGCUUCACCCUAUUGCCAUGUUUAACAACAUUUAAUAUUGUUGGGUACAUAAAACAAGAUCGAACUAAAUAAGUCACGUGGUGUUUCGUCAGUAUGCAACGGGUUGCAUAUGGAGCUCCACUUAAUUUGUAGGGUUGUUUGUGCACUUUGCCAUGCCAUGCCUCAUUAAACCGGACAUGCAACAUACUUGGUUGUGCAUCAUGCCAUGUUCAUGUGUUGGUUGUUUACUAUGUUGUUUGCUUUCUUUCUAGUGUACUUCUUCUCGGUAAUCCGGUAACGUUGCGUAUGUGAGGAUCCGUUGGCUACGUCCGUUUGUCUUCUUCUUGGACUCUUUCUUCUUCCUUGCGGGAUCUCAGGCAAGAGGACCAUACGCUCGAAAUCACUUCUAUCUUUGCUUGCUAAAUGCUCGCUCUUUUGCUAUGCCUGUGCUGCGAUACCUACCACUUGCCUUAUCAUGCCUCCCAUAUUGCCAUGCCAAACCCCUAACCCACCUUGUCCUAGCAAACCGUUGUUUGACUAUGUUACCACUUUGCUCAGCCCCUCUUAUAGCGUUGUUAGUUGUAGGUGAAGAUUGGAGCUUGUUCCAUCUUUGGAACAUGGAUAUUUGUUGGGAUAUCACAAUAUCUCUUAUUUAAUUAAUGCAUCUAUAUACUUGGUAAAGGGUGGAAGGCUCAGCCUUAUGCCUCGUGUUUUGUUCCACUCUUGCCGCCCUAGUUUCCGUCAUACCGGUGUUAUGUUUCUUAAUUUUGCGUUUCUUACAUGGUUGGGUUAUAAUGGGAACCCCUUGACAGUUCGCCUUGAAUAAAACUCCUCCAGCAAGGCCCAACAUUGGUUUUACCAUUUGCCACCUAGCCUUUUUCUUUCCCUUGGGCUGAGCGAUGUCCGGAGCUACCAGGGGCAACUCUGGGCUGGCCUACCCGACGUCUGGCUCAUCCGGUGUGCCCCUGAGAAUGAGAUAUGUGCAGCUCCUAUCGGGAUUUGUCGGCACAUCUGGGUGGCUUUGCUGGUCUUGUUUUACCAUUGUCAAAAUGUCUUGUAACCAGGAUUCCGAGCCUGAUCGGGUCUUCCUGGGAGAAGGAAUAUCCUUCGUUGACCGUGAGAGCUUGUGAUGGGCUAAGUUGGGACACGCCUGCAGGGAUUUGAACUUUCGAAAGUCGUGCCCGCGGUUAUGGGCAGAUGGGAAUUUGUUAAUGUCCAGUUGUAGAAAACCUGAAGUUUAUCUUAAUUAAAAUGCAUCCACCGCGUGUGUAACCGUGAUGGUCUCUUCUCGGCGGGGUCCGGGAAGUGAACGCGGUGUUGGAGUUAUGCUUGACGUAGGUUGUUCUAGGAUCACUUAUUGAUCAUAGUUCAUCGAUCGUGCUUUGCCUUCUCUUCUCGCUCUCAUUUGCGUAUGUUAGCCAUCAUAUAUGCUAGUCGCUUGCUGUAGCUCCACCUCAUACCUUUUACCCUUCCCAUAAGCUUAAAUAGUCUUGAUCGCGAGGGUGUGAGAUUGCUGAGUCCCCGUGACUCACAGAUACUUCCAAAACUAGCUUGCAGGUGCCGAUGAUACUGUGCGGGUGACACAACCGAGCUCAAGGAGGAGCUCGAUGAAGAUCUCGUUCAUUGUGUUGUUUCGUAUUAGUUGAUCAGUAGUGGAGCCUAGUUGGGACGAUCAGGGAUCUGUGUAGCAUUUGGGGUAGUCUUCUUUUAUUUUGGUUCCGUAGUCGGACCUUAAUUGUGUCUGGAUGAUGUAAUGCUUUAUUCAUGUAUUGUGUGAAGUGGCGAUUGUAAGCCAACUAUGUACCUUUUCCCUUAUUCAUUACAUGGGUUGUUGUCAAGAUUACCUCACUUGUGACAUUGCUUUCAAUGCGGUUAUGCCUCUAAGUCGUGCUUCGACACGUGGGAGAUAUAGCCGCAUUGAGGGGGGUACAGAUCUGUUGUGCCGUCGUAUGAUUCUAUAUUUACGGGUUUGAAACCCUCUG